rnacentral:rRNA from 1 species
UACGGAGGGGGCUAGCGUUGUUCGGAAUUACUGGGCGUAAAGCGCACGUAGGCGGCUACUCAAGUCAGAGGUGAAAGCCCGGGGCUCAACCCCGGAACGGCCUUUGAAACUAGGUAGCUAGAAUUCUGGAGAGGUCAGUGGAAUUCCGAGUGUAGAGGUGAAAUUCGUAGAUAUUAGGAAGAACACCAGUGGCGAAGGCGGCUCACUGGUCCGGUACUGACGCUGAGGUGCGAAAGCGUGGGGAGCAAACAGG